rnacentral:rRNA from 1 species
UAGAGUUUGAUCCUGGCUCAGAUUGAACGCUGGCGGCAUGCUUUACACAUGCAAGUCGAACGGCAGCGGGGGCUUCGGCCUGCCGGCGAGUGGCGAACGGGUGAGUAAUACAUCGGAACGUAUCCUUGAGUGGGGAAUAACGCAUCGAAAGAUGUGCUAAUACCGCAUACCUCUAAGGAGAAAAGCAGGGGACAGAAAUGCCUUGCGCUGAAGGAGCGGCCGAUGUCUGAUUAGCUAGUUGGUGGGGUAAAUGCCUACCAAGGCGACGAUCAGUAAUUGGUCUGAGAGGACGACCAGCCACACUGGGACUGAGACACGGCCCAGACUCCUACGGGAGGCAGCAGUGGGGAAUUUUGGACAAUGGGCGAAAGCCUGAUCCAGCCAUGCCGCGUGAGUGAAGAAGGCCUUCGGGUUGUAAAGCUCUUUUAGUCGGAAAGAAAAGAUCGUAAAUAAUACUUGCGAUUAAUGACGGUACCGACAGAAAAAGCACCGGCUAACUACGUGCCAGCAGCCGCGGUAAUACGUAGGGUGCGAGCGUUAAUCGGAAUUACUGGGCGUAAAGGGUGCGCAGGCGGUUUGUAAGUCAGAUGUGAAAUC